AGAAAUACUGACUAUGGUUUUGCUUAGGAUGACUAUUUUCCUUCUGUACCAUAAUUCAGUCACACUCCAAUAAAGAUUGUAGUAUUUUAGCAGUCUGCUUAGAACUGGCACCAGCUAUUACACGAAACAAUCCGAAAAUCCUCUAAACUGAAAUAAGAAUUCACCAGGAUGAAAUGCAUCUCCAUUCUGAUGACAUUUUAGGUUAUAUUGCAACUGGGAAUCUAUAGACCUUCUAGCCUGAAGAUAAAGGUGACACAAGGAAGCAGAGUUAAGAGAGCCAAGAAGAAGAGAGCUGGAGCCCCAGCUUGGAGUCCCAAACCUAUGU
rnacentral:lncRNA from 1 species